rnacentral:rRNA from 1 species
GGGUUGUGAGGUUAAGCGACUAAGCGUACACGGUGGAUGCCCUGGCAGUCAGAGGCGAUGAAGGACGUGCUAAUCUGCGAUAAGCGUCGGUGAGGUGAUAUGAACCGUUAUAACCGGCGAUUUCCGAAUGGGGAAACCCAGUGUGUUUCGACACACUAUCAUUAACUGAAUCCAUAGGUUAAUGAGGCGAACCGGGGGAACUGAAACAUCUAAGUACCCCGAGGAAAAGAAAUCAACCGAGAUUCCCCCAGUAGCGGCGAGCGAACGGGGAGGAGCCCAGAGCCUGAAUCAGUGUGUGUGUUAGUGGAAGCGUCUGGAAAGGCGCGCGAUACAGGGUGACAGCCCCGUACACAAAAAUGCACAUAUUGUGAGCUCGAUGAGUAGGGCGGGACACGUGGUAUCCUGUCUGAAUAUGGGGGGACCAUCCUCCAAGGCUAAAUACUCCUGACUGACCGAUAGUGAACCAGUACCGUGAGGGAAAGGCGAAAAGAACCCCGGCGAGGGGAGUGAAAAAGAACCUGAAACCGUGUACGUACAAGCAGUGGGAGCCUCUUAAUGGGGUGACUGCGUACCUUUUGUAUAAUGGGUCAGCGACUUAUAUUCUGUAGCAAGGUUAACCGAAUAGGGGAGCCGAAGGGAAACCGAGUCUUAACUGGGCGUUAAGUUGCAGGGUAUAGACCCGAAACCCGGUGAUCUAGCCAUGGGCAGGUUGAAGGUUGGGUAACACUAACUGGAGGACCGAACCGACUAAUGUUGAAAAAUUAGCGGAUGACUUGUGGCUGGGGGUGAAAGGCCAAUCAAACCGGGAGAUAGCUGGUUCUCCCCGAAAGCUAUUUAGGUAGCGCCUCGUGAAUUCAUCUCCGGGGGUAGAGCACUGUUUCGGCAAGGGGGUCAUCCCGACUUACCAACCCGAUGCAAACUGCGAAUACCGGAGAAUGUUAUCACGGGAGACACACGGCGGGUGCUAACGUCCGUCGUGAAGAGGGAAACAACCCAGACCGCCAGCUAAGGUCCCAAAGUCAUGGUUAAGUGGGAAACGAUGUGGGAAGGCCCAGACAGCCAGGAUGUUGGCUUAGAAGCAGCCAUCAUUUAAAGAAAGCGUAAUAGCUCACUGGUCGAGUCGGCCUGCGCGGAAGAUGUAACGGGGCUAAACCAUGCACCGAAGCUGCGGCAGCGACGCUUAUGCGUUGUUGGGUAGGGGAGCGUUCUGUAAGCCUGUGAAGGUGUGCUGUGAGGCAUGCUGGAGGUAUCAGAAGUGCGAAUGCUGACAUAAGUAACGAUAAAGCGGGUGAAAAGCCCGCUCGCCGGAAGACCAAGGGUUCCUGUCCAACGUUAAUCGGGGCAGGGUGAGUCGACCCCUAAGGCGAGGCCGAAAGGCGUAGUCGAUGGGAAACAGGUUAAUAUUCCUGUACUUGGUGUUACUGCGAAGGGGGGACGGAGAAGGCUAUGUUGGCCGGGCGACGGUUGUCCCGGUUUAAGCGUGUAGGCUGGUUUUCCAGGCAAAUCCGGAAAACCAAGGCUGAGGCGUGAUGACGAAGCACUACGGUGCUGAAGCGACAAAUGCCCUGCUUCCAGGAAAAGCCUCUAAGCAUCAGGUAACAUCAAAUCGUACCCCAAACCGACACAGGUGGUCAGGUAGAGAAUACCAAGGCGCUUGAGAGAACUCGGGUGAAGGAACUAGGCAAAAUGGUGCCGUAACUUCGGGAGAAGGCACGCUGAUAUGUAGGUGAAGCGACUUGCUCGUGGAGCUGAAAUCAGUCGAAGAUACCAGCUGGCUGCAACUGUUUAUUAAAAACACAGCACUGUGCAAACACGAAAGUGGACGUAUACGGUGUGACGCCUGCCCGGUGCCGGAAGGUUAAUUGAUGGGGUUAGCGGUAACGCGAAGCUCUUGAUCGAAGCCCCGGUAAACGGCGGCCGUAACUAUAACGGUCCUAAGGUAGCGAAAUUCCUUGUCGGGUAAGUUCCGACCUGCACGAAUGGCGUAAUGAUGGCCAGGCUGUCUCCACCCGAGACUCAGUGAAAUUGAACUCGCUGUGAAGAUGCAGUGUACCCGCGGCAAGACGGAAAGACCCCGUGAACCUUUACUAUAGCUUGACACUGAACAUUGAGCCUUGAUGUGUAGGAUAGGUGGGAGGCUUUGAAGUGUGGACGCCAGUCUGCAUGGAGCCGACCUUGAAAUACCACCCUUUAAUGUUUGAUGUUCUAACGUUGGCCCGUAAUCCGGGUUGCGGACAGUGUCUGGUGGGUAGUUUGACUGGGGCGGUCUCCUCCUAAAGAGUAACGGAGGAGCACGAAGGUUGGCUAAUCCUGGUCGGACAUCAGGAGGUUAGUGCAAUGGCAUAAGCCAGCUUGACUGCGAGCGUGACGGCGCGAGCAGGUGCGAAAGCAGGUCAUAGUGAUCCGGUGGUUCUGAAUGGAAGGGCCAUCGCUCAACGGAUAAAAGGUACUCCGGGGAUAACAGGCUGAUACCGCCCAAGAGUUCAUAUCGACGGCGGUGUUUGGCACCUCGAUGUCGGCUCAUCACAUCCUGGGGCUGAAGUAGGUCCCAAGGGUAUGGCUGUUCGCCAUUUAAAGUGGUACGCGAGCUGGGUUUAGAACGUCGUGAGACAGUUCGGUCCCUAUCUGCCGUGGGCGCUGGAGAACUGAGGGGGGCUGCUCCUAGUACGAGAGGACCGGAGUGGACGCAUCACUGGUGUUCGGGUUGUCAUGCCAAUGGCACUGCCCGGUAGCUAAAUGCGGAAGAGAUAAGUGCUGAAAGCAUCUAAGCACGAAACUUGCCCCGAGAUGAGUUCUCCCUGAGACUUAGAGUCUCCUGAAGGAACGUUGAAGACGACGACGUUGAUAGGCCGGGUGUGUAAGCGCAGCGAUGCGUUGAGCUAACCGGUACUAAUGAACCGUGAGGCUUAACCUUACAACGCCGAAG